GUGCUUUUCUCGACUGGGAAGCUAUGGACAAGCAUUCUAUGAGUUGGUUGUUCACCUAUAUUACUGUUUUAUCUACUUGUAGUGUUGCAGCCAUGGAGAUGUUUGUUGAUGGUCAUUUAGUCGCCGGCGCUCUUUCUCCAUGGGGCAUGCUUUUGGGAUCAUUCGAGCUCAUCUUAGCUUAUGAUCGAUCGAUUCGUAUGCGAUAUGGCUGGGGUUCCAUAUGGGUUAGAUGACCAUCAACAAACACCUCCACCCGACUGCAUUUACUUAGAAUCAUUACUGAUAUGAUUCUCUCUAUUCCAUUUUGGUUGUCGCCAAAUUGACCUUUUCAUCUGGCAAGUCACACAACUUACCCUUAAUUUUUCUAAUUUCAUGUAAAGGCACUUGUUCACAUACAUUGGAUGUGUAUUCUAUUGAAUGCCUCCAUGCUUCCAGAGCUCCAGGCUGCUCCAAUGGCGAUUAGGUAAGACCUCAGCACCCUUGAAACCAAGCGGAGAAGCCAAGAUUGGGGGUUGUGUUAAAGGGUCAGACUUGGCCCUCCAGCUUGUCAAAUGAGCGAUGGCAAUGGUAGAGAGCCAGAAACACAAUUGAGAGAGAGUUGGAGAAGAGAAAGAAAGUUUGGAAGGAAAAAAAUGAGAGGAUUCAAUUAGAAUUACCUGUUGUUGAAUGUCGACCCAUGUAUUCAUAUCCUACCUGGUGCUGAUCGAUGUGUCCUCUCCGAAACCAAGAACUUAACCCACUAUACAUGAAUGCUUCCUUUCAAAAACGCUAGCUUAAUUAAACCCAUGAUGCUAUUUAGCGGUCAGGCUUGCCCUUUGAAUUGUCCCUGCAGCCUUCUUAAGUGGGCACGAUCUGACCAUGUCCUAAUCCGACUUUGGACUUCCUCUGGACAGGCUAAGUUCUAGUGCCUCCCAUGCUUGAGUCGGGUUCUAUCUCCAAUUCUGGUAAUAUAUCCAGGUAUGAUAUUUAUGAAGAUAAUUGGUUUCAUCUUAUGAUCUACCUAUGCGACGCGGAUUCUCAUAAUUGAAUCAGUAAUGUCCAGGUAGGACUUAAUAACACCAAUUUCAACACUUAACUAAAUUUAACUUGUUUGUUUAGUAUAAAAAAAUGAUUAAUUUAUUGAUCAGAAGGGGGGAGAUGAAGGCUCCAACUGCGGCCACCACCAGCCCGGAUGAGCUAUUUAGUCCUUGCCCCUUCGUUGCUUGAGUUAGGCUUUCAGGUUUAAGUAAUAUCCAUAUGAUAUGCAAUUAUGAAGAAGAGCCGAAUUCAUCGUUUGGAUCUGCCCAUGGGGGUCAUGGUGAAGAUUCUCAUGGUGAAGAUUCUUGAAACCAAAUUUAUAAUGUACAAUUCUUAGAGAACUUUCCUUGAAAAUAUUUCUAGACAACAGAACCAUAUAAGCGUAAUUCAAAUAAAGAUUCUUGCCACUUAUUGAUAGUAGAAUGCUUGUCGACGCAUCGAAAGAUGAACUGGAAUUUAUUUGCGUUAUUUCCUUUGAUUGCGGUGAUUUUCGAGUUCAGUUCUGCAUGAAAAAGGCAAUUGAUGCGUAUAGCACCCGCUCUGCUUCAGUUCGACAGUGUUAAGGAUCGGAAAAUCGACCCGAUCCGUCCGGUUUAUUUUACCACUAUGGGUCCAUCUUGAUACGCCCAUAUUGGUAAUUAAAUCCUAUUAAGGAUAUUUAUCUAUCUAUAUUUCUAGAAUGUUCUAUCAAUAUCUUUAUGAGAUAUCUCUACUCUUAUAUUUGACAAAUAUAUCUACAUGUUGUAUGCAAUCAAAUAUUUGAUGCAGAUUACAAUAUCCAGAUACGGAUAUCCUAUACAUCUCUAUAAAUACUUCUCUAGGUAUCCCUAAACCCUAAAUUCAAUUCUCUAUUCUUUCUCGCACACGCUCUCAUUUAAGCAUCAGAGAGAGAAAUCGAGAUUCCCUCUCGAUCUCCCCUUUUGCAGGUUGUUCGUGUGGUAUUAAUGGAAGCUCGAAGCUCGUGCCUUGCACAUGAUCAAGACCCGAUUUGUCACAACCCCAACAUUGCCGACGUCCGUGGGAAACGACACAAAAAAUCAUCUCCAUCGGCUAUUUUUCACCACUGAGAAGAAAUUAUGGAUUUGACCAAAAAAUGCAGCAAACUCCCAAGCUGGGAACGACAAAUCUCAGGGGACUCUUGACCCUUCACAAUAGGUUGCAACAAACAACCAGGUGCAGUCGACUUGUCCAAAUCCGUCGCCGCCACAGCACAACUUGAACGUGAUUCGACUGGAUUAGCUAGCACCAGAUGUUUGAUCAAUGGUGGAGGCAAUCAUCGUGAUCUCUGAUACCCCCCAGGUUAACUUGGAAGAUCGUGCGGUGACGAAUCGAGUCGAAGACGAUGCUGUCUCCUCCCAGCAUCGGCCUAAAUCUCCCUCCAAAGGGGACUUUGAGAAGCUGCCGGUGACAUACCUUCGCUGAUAACAAUUCCUCCUGGACCAGGUGCGGUUCUUUCUCCAAAGGAUAUCCAGGGUCUAGCGGCAGAACAUGUAAUUAGGGUAUUGCUGGCUAUAGAGCAGCAACAGCAAGGGCUUACCCCUUAUUGAAGAGGAUUCUAAGUCGCCCAUUUUCAAGGAGAUUCUUCACGCUAAAGUGGCCCAUAAGUUUACUCCCCUCAUAUUGCUUUGUAUGAUGGGAAGAUAGACUGAUGAACCAUGUUCACAGCCACGUAGCUUCGCUCUUAGGAAGAGUGUCGGAGCAAGUGCAAUGCCUUAUGUUCCCAGGAACUCUUACUGGAGCCACAAAAAAUUGGUUCCACUCUUUGCAACUUGGCUUUAUAACAAGUUUCAAGCAAUGAAAGAAUUGUUCCAGCAAAAGUUCGCGAGCAUGUGAUAGGCAAAGAUGAGUAUUGUUGAGUUGUUUUCUACGGAGCAAAGGGAGAAGGAAUCCCUUUGCGACUGGUAUGAUCGAUUUUUUAAGGUUUUGACUAUGGUGGAAGGAUUAACGCAAUGCGAGGCAAUGACUGCCUUCCAAAGGGGCUUGAGGAACGAGGACCUCGCAAAGAGCUUGGUCAUCACACCACCAAGUAGCUUCGCCGACAUCUUUGCUCGUGCACGAAAGUUCAUUACCGUCGAGGAGUCCAUCUCGACAAGGAAGAAGAAGGAGCACGUGGGUGAAAAACGAAAGGAACCUCAUGACAAUCGGUCCAAUGAGAAGUGACCGCUCUUCCAAUUUGAGAAGCUAACACCCCUCAAUGCACCUAAGGCGGUUAUCCUCCAAGAGAUGGAGCGACUUCGUCUAGCGAAGCCCCCUCCGCUGAAAAAAAGAUAAGUCUUUGGGUAAUAAUGUAGAUCAAUAUUGCAGGUUUCACAAAGGCAUGUAGACAUGACAUUGAGCGUUGUCACAUGCUUAAGUUUGAAAUUAAGAAGCCGAUUCGACAAGGACACCUAAAGUCCUUUGUCCAGAGUGAAUCUCUUCAUGAUUGUGAGCAUAGAGAUGCACGCUUGGAUACCCUACAAGGAGUGAUUAAUAAAAGGUGUUAAGCUAUUGUCACAA